UAAAAAAAAUUUCUGAUUAAUAAUUAUGAAAUUAAUUGUAUUGUCUAAUGAUUCAUUUCUCAUAACCGUUCUUUUAGUGUCAUUUAUUUUUAAUGAAUUAUCUAUAUUAUUUUAAUUAUAAUCUUAUAUCUUCUAUUAGUAUUUUUAGUUGUUUAACGCUACCAAGGAAAUAUUAAAAGACCAAAUGUGUCUCUCUCUUCUCCCACCCCCUCCCUACCCCCCACACACACGCAAUAAAAAAACAAAGUUCACAAACAAGACACACACACGCGAAAAAAAAAAGAAGGUCAAAAAGAAGAGCUAACGUCGUCACCGUCCAUCCUCUCCCUCUGGGGUCUCAGCUUACUCAACCCAGAAAGACACCGUCCUACUUUUUGCAGCGUUAAACCUCAAAUAAUCCUACAAGCUACAAACUUGUCGUCAUCUCCAGUGGUCUCGGCGUCUCCAUUUCUUUGAACAGAUUGUCACACGUGGGUAGCUGCUACUUUUGUUAAUUAUCUUGAUUAGGAAGCUACAUUUAAGGGUGACAGAGCUCUUCCCCCAAAUUUUGUUUCAACUCAUGGGGAACGAUUAGGGCCAAUAUUCUAUGUCAUUAACGAGUUAGAUAAUUGUUUAUCGCUGGAGGUGAUCAAAAAGAAUGAUCAGUUGUUCAUAACUGACUCCUCAUUUGAACAGAUUAGAACUUUCUAUCUUAUCGAUAAAGGGGCAUCUGUUCAAUUUAGGAAUGUCGGUUUUGGAAUUUUUUUAUUUCAUUGUGGGAUAAGGACAACCAAUCCAUCCAAGUUCACCUUGAUCCUAACUGCUAUGUUCCUGAGCUAAUGGACCCAGAGACACCUGAUAAUAUAUCAAGAGUGUUCCACAUAAAGUAUACCAGGAUGGAUGAGGACUCAUCAGCUGAUGUGAUUGUUCUAUCUGGAUCUGAACCAUCAGAUGAUCAGUUUUCAUCAGAUGGUGAUGAAAACAAUGAUUAAGAUGGAGCACUGGUAGGGGAUAAUCCACAUAAUCCGAUAGAUUUGUCUAGUGGCAGCAGUUUAUCAUUGGAGGUCGAUGAACACAUUAACGCGUCAAAUGAAUUGGCUGAUCCUAGAUAUGCUCCAGAGGUUUCUUAUAAAAAGAAGAUCACAGCUUCGGAUCUCGGACAAUCUAGAUUGUAUUUGGCUUCAAAAUUUGUUGUGUAUCUUAAAUCAUCUGGAGAUGGUUCGAUUUGGACGAUCACCGGUCCAGAUUCCAAUGUAGAGAAGAAUGUGUUCUUUUUUCACUUACUGAAUAGUGAAGGAAGACGUGGAGAAUGAAAAUUUGGGGUCGGAUGGAGUGAAUGUUGUAGAAUAUACAAUUUAAAGGAGGGUGAUAUCAUUACUUUCAAACUCAGCUUGAUAGCUAACCGCCAGAUAGAGUUAUCGAUUCAGCGACGUUAGGCCUCCUAUGUAUAACUCUAUUUGAUGGAUAUUUUGAAUUAUAUGUUAAGUUGUCUUGGACAUAUUUUA